GUGAGAAAUAUGGCAGCACGUAUACUAAGAUUCGAACGAUACAGAGAUUAGCACGGCCCCUGCGCAAGGAUGACAAGCAUGGAAUUAUGAAGAUACACAUUAUG
ensembl:snRNA U6 U6 spliceosomal RNA